rnacentral:rRNA from 1 species
AGAACGAACGCUGGCGGCAUGCCUAACACAUGCAAGUCGAACGCUCUUGGGGCUUCGGUUCCAAGGGAGUGGCGCACGGGUGAGUAGCGCGUGGGAACCUGCCCUGGAGUGGGGGAUAACCGAGGGAAACUUCGGCUAAUACCGCAUGCGCCCGGGAAACCGGGGAAGAUUUAUCGCUCUAGGAGGGGCCCGCGUCGGAUUAGCUAGUUGGUGGGGUAACGGCCUACCAAGGCUUUGAUCCGUAGCUGGUCUGAGAGGAUGAUCAGCCACACUGGGACUGAGACACGGCCCAGACUCCUACGGGAGGCAGCAGUGGGGAAUAUUGGACAAUGGGCGCAAGCCUGAUCCAGCAAUGCCGCGUGAGUGAUGAAGGCCUUCGGGUUGUAAAGCUCUUUCGCACGCGAGGAUGAUGACGCUAGCGUGAGAAGAAGCCCCGGCUAACUUCGUGCCAGCAGCCGC